rfam:Erwinia tasmaniensis strain ET1/99 complete chromosome.
GCCAUACUACGGUGCAUCGUGGUGGAAAGUAAACGAUGACCCCUAUGGAACUCUGGGGUAAAAUACGUAUCAAAUUGCGAAAUUGAUUCUGGCCUGGAGCUUGCUCCGGGUCAGGUUUCUUU